GCCGGUGUGGCUCAGUGGAUAGAGCGUCGGCCUGCAGACCCCAGGGUCCUCGGUUGGAUUCCGGUCAGGGGCA
rnacentral:tRNA from 1 species